CUAAUCCAAUCCCGAUCAAGGCGCGGCGGGGCGACCGCAUACUCCUGAUUCGGUUGCUUCCAAAAAAAAGUCCCGAUUGGAGGCGCAGCGGGAGCGACCGCAUCGAAUCCAUCCACUCCGGAUCCGAGGCGCAGAGAGGAUCCAAUGCAUCCAGUCCGUGAAUCGCUGUCCGACUGUUCGUCUCUUGAAACUGCUACCGUGGGUUUGAAGGAAGUAAUCACUCUUCAGUUUCUCUCCAACCAUUCAUGGCGGAUGAUGUGCGCCCCUCGCGGUCAUUAAUGGAUGCCUGGGUCUUUGUUUCUCAUUCUUCCGCUGUGUAUAUAUGCUUCAUCUACCCUCAAUCUUCUAACUCCGGCGACAGAACAUCCAUCAGCAUGGUGCUCUUCUAGGCUCCCCUCUAUCUUUAUUUUUUAUCAUCCAUGUACGAUAUUUGCUUCUUCCACCCAACGAUUACAUUGUAUCCUCCCAAUCUAAUUUUGUGCAGGUAUUGUUCAAACUGGGAGAUGGCCGAUUGAUUCGGCCAGAUAUUGGAAACUGGCUCUCGCUUUUUUUUUCUGAAAUUCUUUAGGUGAUAGUUCUAAUGGCUUCUGGGCAGGUAAUUACUUCACUUGGACUACCAGAUUUCAUUUUAUCGAUUCAUGUUUUACCAUCCAUGUUUUUACAGCAUAGAAGAUUACUCAUAUAUCUGUUAUCCACACCAUGGUUCUUCUAUUUGUUGCUGUACGCAACAGGUUAAGUGGAACAGUGUAGUUAUAUGCGCAAAAGAAUGUAGCCAUACUGUUAUAGACGGGGGUGAAGCCUCAGUAUCUUCUUCUAUGCAGAAGUGAGCAAAGCCCAAUAAUCUUACCAAUAUUUGGAAGUAUGUGUGUGGAUUUUCAAGACAUGGUAAGAUGCACUUGGUUCAGUCUGGGGGCAGUGAUGUCAGCAAAUCAUUGGAAGAGUUCAGUAAGUGCAGUCUGUAUUUCAUUAUUUUUCUUACAAGGGAAGGCAUCACGGCAUAUAAUAAAUAAGUGAAGACCAUCGGACAGGCAAUGUUAUUCUUUUCAGUGCUCUCCGCUGUGUCCGUGAUCGGAUUUGUGUGCAUAAAGAAGUGGAUGAACCUGUAACAUGUGUUCAUCACAUAAGAUCAUCAUAACAACCUUCCUUUUGGCAGGGGAGGGGCUAUUUUAGUUACAACCUGAGGCACAACGAGCAGGAGGAGUUGGCCAACUGGCGUGCUAGAUUAAGGGCAUGUUUGCCUAAGCACUUUUAUUAGUUCCGUUGAUAAUACCAGGACUGGAGAACUGAAAGCCCUUGUAGAUGCAAGAGGUGUGCUAUUAAACCAAAAAAUUAAGUGCACAACAUAAUACUAUUACAUAGUUCACGUGGUUACCCAAAUACUUAGCAUUUUCUCUACCCAAAUAUGAGUGUAAUGUUUCAGAUCAUAUAUUCCCAGUAUUAUUAAGACAUCAUGUAUGUGAAGUUAUUUGUGCUAUUCCAAUGCUAUUUUUUGCAAAUC